rnacentral:rRNA from 1 species
AGCGAACGCUGGCGGCAGGCCUAACACAUGCAAGUCGAACGGACCCUUCGGGGUUAGUGGCGGACGGGUGAGUAACAUGUGGGAACGUGCCUUUAGGUUCGGAAUAGCUCCUGGAAACGGGUGGUAAUGCCGAAUGUGCCCUUCGGGGGAAAGAUUUAUCGCCUUUAGAGCGGCCCGCGUCUGAUUAGCUAGUUGGUGAGGUAAUGGCUCACCAAGGCGACGAUCAGUAGCUGGUCUGAGAGGAUGACCAGCCACAUUGGGACUGAGACACGGCCCAAACUCCUACGGGAGGCAGCAGUGGGGAAUCUUGCGCGAUGGGCGAAAGCCUGACGCAGCAACGCCGCGUGCGGGAUGAAGGCCUUCGGGUUGUAAACCGCUUUCAGCAGGGACGAAACUGACUGUACCUGCAGAAGAAGCCCCGGCUAACUACGUGCCAGCAGCCGCAGUAACAC